AUUGAACGCUGGCGGCAGGCUUAACACAUGCAAGUCGAGCGGAGUGAUGGUGCUUGCACUAUCACUUAGCGGCGGACGGGUGAGUAAUGCUUAGGAAUCUGCCUAUUAGUGGGGGACAACAUCUCGAAAGGGAUGCUAAUACCGCAUACGUCCUACGGGAGAAAGCAGGGGAUCACUUGUGACCUUGCGCUAAUAGAUGAGCCUAAGUCGGAUUAGCUAGUUGGUGGGGUAAAGGCCUACCAAGGCGACGAUCUGUAGCGGGUCUGAGAGGAGGAUCCGCCACACUGGGACUGAGACACGGCCCAGACUCCUACGGGAGGCAGCAGUGGGGAAUAUUGGACAAUGGGGGGAACCCUGAUCCAGCCAUGCCGCGUGUGUGAAGAAGGCCUUAUGGUUGUAAAGCACCUUAAGCGAGGAGGAGGCUCUUUUGGUUAAUACCCAAGAUGAGUGGACGUUACUCGCAGAAUAAGCACCGGCUAACUCUGUGCCAGCCGCCGCCGUAA
rnacentral:rRNA from 1 species